rnacentral:rRNA from 1 species
UACGUAGGGUGCGAGCGUUGUCCGGAAUUAUUGGGCGUAAAGAGCUCGUAGGCGGUUUGUUGCGUCUAUCGUGAAAACCUGCGGCUUAACUGUGGGCUUGCGGUGGAUACGGGCAGACUUGAGUUCGGUAGGGGAGACUGGAAUUCCAGGUGUAGCGGUGAAAUGCGCAGAUAUCAGGAGGAACACCGGUGGCGAAGGCGGGUCUCUGGGCCGAUACUGACGCUGAGGAGCGAAAGCGUGGGGAGCGAACAGG